CCUACGGGCGGCAGCAGUGAGGAAUAUUGGUCAAUGGACGAGAGUCUGAACCAGCCAAGUCGCGUGAAGGAUGACUGCACUAUGGGUUGUAAACUUCUUUUAUAUGGGAAUAAAAUGUUCCACGUGUGGGCUUUUGUAUGUACCAUAUGAAUAAGCAUCGGCUAACUCCGUGCCAGCAGCCGCGGUAAUACGGAGGAUUCGAGCGUUAUCCGGAUUUAUUGGGUUUAAAGGGUGCGGAGGUGGUUUGUUAAGUCAGUUGUUAAAGUUUGGGGCUCAACCGUAACAGUGCAGUUGAAACUGGCAGUCGUGAGUACAAGAGAGGUGGGCGGAAUUCGUGGUGUAGCGGUGAAAUGCUUAGAUAUCACGAAGAACUCCGAUUGCGAAGGCAGCAUGCUGGACUGCAACUGACGCUGAGGCACGAAAGUGUGGGUAUCAAACAGGAUUAGAUACCCUUGUAGUC
rnacentral:rRNA from 1 species